UACGUAGGGGGCGAGCGUUGUCCGGAUUUACUGGGCGUAAAACGCUUGUAGGCGCCACGCCAAGUCGGAUGUGAAAUCUCCCGGCUUAACUGGGAGGGGUCAUGCGAUACUGGCGGGCUCGAGGCAGGUAGGGGGAAGCGGAAUUCCCGGUGUAGUGGUGGAAUGCGUAGAUAUCGGGAGGAACACCAGUGGCGAAGGCGGCUUCCUGGACCUGUUCUGACGCUGAGGAGCGAAAGCGUGGGGAGCGAUCCGG
rnacentral:rRNA from 1 species